GAGUGCGCUGGCUAUCUCAGUGACGCUAGGGCAAUCAAACUUUUAAUCAGUAGGUCCAGGGUUCGAAUCCCUGCGCUCUCACCA
rnacentral:tRNA from 1 species